AGUGAACGCUGGCGGUAGGCCUAACACAUGCAAGUCGAACGGCAGCACAGUAAGAGCUUGCUCUUACGGGUGGCGAGUGGCGGACGGGUGAGGAAUACAUCGGAAUCUACUUUUUCGUGGGGGAUAACGUAGGGAAACUUACGCUAAUACCGCAUACGACCUACGGGUGAAAGCAGGGGAUCUUCGGACCUUGCGCGAUUGAAUGAGCCGAUGUCGGAUUAGCUAGUUGGCGGGGUAAAGGCCCACCAAGGCGACGAUCCGUAGCUGGUCUGAGAGGAUGAUCAGCCACACUGGAACUGAGACACGGUCCAGACUCCUACGGGAGGCAGCAGUGGGGAAUAUUGGACAAAGGGCGCAAGCCUGAUCCAGCCAUACCGCGUGGGUGAAGAAGGCCUUCGGGUUGUAAAGCCCUUUUGUUGGGAAAGAAAAGCAGCAGGUUAAUACCCCGCUGUUUUGACGGUACCCAAAGAAUAAGCACCGGCUAACUUCGUG
rnacentral:rRNA from 1 species